rnacentral:rRNA from 1 species
AUACGGAGGGGGCUAGCGUUGUUCGGAUUUACUGGGCGUAAAGCGCACGUAGGCGGUAUAUCAAGUUAGGCGUGAAAGCCCCGGGCUCAACCCGGGAACUGCGCUUAUUACUGAUAAACUAGAGUCCGGGAGAGGGUGGCGGAAUUCCCAGUGUAGAGGUGAAAUUCGUAGAUAUUGGGAAGAACACCAGUUGCGAAGGCGGCCACCUGGACCGGUACUGACGCUAAGGUGCGAAAGCGUGGGUAGCGAACAGGAUUAGAAACCCCAGUAGUCC